UACAGAGGUCUCAAGCGUUGUUCGGAUUCAUUGGGCGUAAAGGGCGCGUAGGCGGCGGGGUAAGUCGGGUGUGAAAUCUCAGAGCUCAACUCUGAAAUGGCACUUGAUACUGCUCUGCUAGAGGAGUGGAGAGGAGAUUGGAAUUCACGGUGUAGCAGUGAAAUGCGUAGAUAUCGUGAGGAAGACCGGUGGCGAAGGCGGAUCUCUGGACAGUUCCUGACGCUGAGGCACGAAGGCCAGGGGAGCAAACGGG
rnacentral:rRNA from 1 species